rnacentral:rRNA from 1 species
UACGUAGGGGGCAAGCGUUGUCCGGAAUUAUUGGGUGUAAAGCGCGUGUAGGCGGCUCGGUAAGUCUGCUGUGAAAGUUCAGGGCUCAACCCUGAAAUGCCGGUGGAUACUGUCGAGCUCGAGUCCGGAAGAGGCGAGUGGAAUUCCUGGUGUAGCGGUGAAAUGCGCAGAUAUCAGGAAGAACACCCGUGGCGAAGGCGGCUCUCUGGAACGCAACUGACGCUGAGACGCGAAAGCGUGGGGAGCAAACAGG